AGAUUAAGUUAUUAAGGGCGCACGGUGGAUGCCUUGGCACUAGAAGCCGAUGAAGGACGUUACUAACGACGAUAUGCUUUGGGGAGCUGUAAGUAAGCUUUGAUCCAGAGAUUUCCGAAUGGGGAAACCCAGCAUGAGUUAUGUCAUGUUAUCGAUAUGUGAAUACAUAGCAUAUCAGAAGGCACACCCGGAGAACUGAAACAUCUUAGUACCCGGAGGAAGAGAAAGAAAAUUCGAUUCCCUUAGUAGCGGCGAGCGAAACGGGAAGAGCCCAAACCAAAAAGCUUGCUUGUUGGGGUUGUAGGACACUCUAUACGGAGUUACAAAGGACGACAUUAGACGAAUCAUCUGGAAAGAUGAAUCAAAGAAGGUAAUAAUCCUGUAGUCGAAAAUGUUGUCUCUCUUGAGUGGAUCCUGAGUACGACGGAGCACGUGAAAUUCCGUCGGAAUCUGGGAGGACCAUCUCCUAAGGCUAAAUACUCUCUAGUGACCGAUAGUGAACCAGUACCGUGAGGGAAAGGUGAAAAGCACCCCGGAAGGAGAGUGAAAUAGAACCUGAAACCGUGUGCUUACAAGUAGUCAGAGCCCGUUAAUGGGUGAUGGCGUGCCUUUUGUAGAAUGAACCGGCGAGUUACGAUUUGAUGCAAGGUUAAGCAGUAAAUGUGGAGCCGUAGCGAAAGCGAGUCUGAAUAGGGCGUUUAGUAUUUGGUCGUAGACCCGAAACCAGGUGAUCUACCCUUGGUCAGGUUGAAGUUCAGGUAACACUGAAUGGAGGACCGAACCGACUUACGUUGAAAAGUGAGCGGAUGAACUGAGGGUAGCGGAGAAAUUCCAAUCGAACCUGGAGAUCGCUGGUUCUCUCCGAAAUAGCUUUAGGGCUAGCCUCAAGUGAUGAUUAUUGGAGGUAGAGCACUGUUUGGGCGAGGGGCGCCUCUAGGGUUACCGAAAUCAGACAAACUGCGAAUGCCAAUGAAAUAAACAUGGGAGUCAGAACAUGGGUGAUAAGGUCCGUGUU
rnacentral:rRNA from 1 species